UCCUUGCGCGAUCGGAAGCCCGGUCAAUUGAUGUAGCGUUUGCGUACAGCUCGGCUACCUCAGCAGGCAAGGCGGGCCCCUGCUGUAUACUGUACACACGUUAAGUGUCAUUGUGUGUGCCUAUGGGAUUGUGCCGUGUAAACAAAGUCGCAGCGUUUCCCUAAAACUAGCAGCGGCUAGGUCACCCAAUCCCACAGUACUGUUGCUGCUGCCGCCGCGGCUGCCGCUGUUGUUGCUGCUGAGUUAUGUAGGUUACAAAGGGAAAGGCGGGCGGGAGGAGAAGAGAGCUCUGACGUUUGCAUUUUGUUCAAGGGCUUCUGCCUCACUCGCGCGGCGCGCAGGCGCAGUCAGAGACGUGACUCUAUGCAAUUGGCACUUGAAGCCUUGUGAAGCGAAAAGCACAUUCCAGGGACACGGAGAGAUCGAGCGGCCGGGCGGGGGGAGCGAGCGCUGCAGCCAAGCACCGUCACAGCAUUAAGCGCCGCCCUUUUUUGCUGCUAUUUCUGGGCUCUUAGCGCUCCCUCCCUCCCAGGCUUAAUUUUUUUACUUCAGAUAGCAUGAGUAGCUUGCAUGCUACAGUGGCGGAGGGGAUGUAAAAAUGGCAAAAGGCACUAUGGCGCUCGCGCGCGCCUUGCAAUGCAAAAAGGUCACUGUGGCCACCCCGCUCCUUUCUAAAUGAAGGCGCAAUGGUCGUCCUUCCUUCAGAGCUGCCCAGGAGCUGGAGUAACAGGCAUUGCAGAUCCGGGCGCUACCGUCCGGUUAGCCUACACCCUUUAAAGAAUAAUUCUGGCUGCCGCCAUGAAAGGCAUUUGUCUUGCAGUAGCAAUUAGCGGCAUUAGGUUGCUUUAACAACGUUUCAGACAUUGAAACUGCUGCUUAGCAAUUGCAACCCGGGCAGUGGUGGCUAGCAUUCCCGGCUGUUUUUGCAAGUGCCCAAGUUUCGGAAGAAGAUUUGGGGGUCGCAGUGAGCUGUGUCUGCACAGAAGAUACACACGCACAACACUUCCGCGUAAAGAGAGAGGACAAGCCAGUCUUGCUCGCUCUGAAGUCAGGGAGAAUCCAUUGACUCAGUACUUGAGCCGCUUGCCAACGCCUUUCGUUUGUAACAUGUUCCUCCCCCAUCCGCAAACGCAGUUGCUUGAGCUGUCAACUUUCCGACCGCCAUUCUUCCUCUCUUUUCGCAAACAAACGCCCCAGGCUGGUUUUAAAAAAAAAAAGAACACCCUCUCCCGUUUGAACUGGAAUGAGCUGGUUGUGAGUUGGAAGAGCAGAGUGUAGAUCAUUAUCUCUCCAACAGGAUUGGCAAAGGGGAAGCAAAAGGGAUCUUGCUGACGUUUUCUGCCUCGUUGCUAGCUGAAAAUGCAGUUGUUUGAACAGCUUUUCCUAAUGAUGCGGAAAGGGGGGAAAAACACACCCGCGAUGUUAUCGAUCUUCCUGGAUCUCAUUAAUAAACCUAUUCCAAAAUUUCACGGAAGCCAUUUAAUUCCAAAUUAGCAGGUUGUGGGGUUUUUCCCUCCCCGUUUUUGUUUCGUUUUGUGUGUUUUAAUCUAUUAUAUAUGACAUGACUCUCCCGCGGGGAUUUCCAGCGUCAACGCCUUGCCUGUUACUGAUGCGUCUGCAAGAGAUAUCAGCCAAUCCUACCAGCACGCAAAGCAGUGCGGUGGGGUUGAUGGGCGCUUCCUUUUUGGGCAAACCUAGGCAAAAAACAGACAAGCCACCAAACCCCUCUUGCAGAUCCAAUACACACGCGGGCGCAUCCCCUUUAAAGGGCAUAACUGCAACUAGUGGUACAUUAAGGGAAAUCCUAUUGUUCCCUCAGUGCAAUGCGUGCUUAAUAGUUUCCUGCUCUCUGAUGCCUCCCCAGUGAGGCUACCAGGAGACGUAAACAUUGUCUUCCCUUCACUUCGCAGGGCGAUUCUCCUCACACCUUCCCGCUCUUCCCCUUCGCGGCCCCAUCAAACAAGAUAAUUGUUAACGAGCGUCAUGCAACCUCGACGGUUUAGUAACCGUUAGUUUGUGGAUAGUGCCCCCGUUCUUUUCUCCAGAAUGAAUUUGGAUCCUUUCCAACGUGGCUGCAGCAAUUGCUGCCUACACACAAGAGAGAGAGAGCGGGAGGCUGGUUUCUAGGGACAAUCCUCAGAACACAAGCCACAUACUCAAGUUACUUCUCAGCUGAGAAAGUUACUGGGAGACUUUAUAAAACCACACAAAUCAUCACAAGGACAACAAACAAAUUUGUUUGUCACCUCAA